CCAUGCCCCCUUUGCUGUGAGUCCAAGGCCAUGGCCAUGCAGGGAGGCCUCUGGGACCUUCUGCACUCAGGAAGGAGCCCAACUUUCCUCUCCCUCCCUUCACUCAGAGGCCUCGAAGGCUGGAGGGAUUGUGGGAUUCUGGCACCACCUAGCGUCUGGCUUCCUCAUCUGGGCCUGCAACCUUUUGAGGGAGGAGAGGGGAGAACUGGCAGGAGAACCAAGCUGCAGGACCAGGAAAUGAACAGGGUGUGUUUGGGGGCCAGAGGCAGGAUAGACCUCACUCCACUUGGGAAUUAAGCUCUUUGUCUUAAUCCACUGCCCCCAGUCCCUGAUAACCACCAACUCUCCUAGAAACACAGAAGGCUUGAGCAGGGAAGGGUCCUUAGAGAGCAAAACAGACCGUCUUCAAUUUACAGAAGGGGAAACCGAGGCUCUAAGAGAGGCCGUGGCUUGUCCAGAGUGACAUGGCCAGCCUGAGUCAGAGCCAGAGGUAAACUUCAGGUCUCUGGCUCCCCUUCCAGAGCUCUUCCUACCACACGAACAUCCAAAGGACGGGAAGCGGUUGGUGGGGCAGGGAGGUGGACUCCCCACUGACUGCCUGUGGGUUUGGAGAGUGAAGGGGAAACAGAGAAGGCCUGGGGUUGUGGGGAGAAACUCCAGAGGAGACCAGGAGCCAGGCAGGGGAAGGCCAGGUGACUUACAACUCAGCACCAAGUCCUUGUGACACCCCACUCCAAAUGUGGACUCAUUGGUGUAGGCCAAACCCUUAAACGGAAUUCAGUUUUCUUUGCAGGAGAUAGAGGCACACACUUGAGCUCUCCCUCGAGGGUGGGAGAAAUGAACUUGAAUGGGGCAGGUCUAGCCAGGGGGGCUUUCAGGAGGAGGGAGGCUCCCAAAGCCUCUUGGAUGCAGCAGCAAGGCAAACAGGAAGAGGGGGUAUUCAGACCUGUGGCCCACCCCAGGAGAAGUAAGAGCACUGGAGGAGAAUCACGUUUCUAGAAUGUUCUAGAAUGUUCCAUACAGAGGACAAUCCAGCCUGCCACCCUCAGAGGGAAAUUCCACCUGCUCUGGAUGAGUCACUUCCCUUCGCUGACCCUGCCUCAAGGCCUCCCUCCUUGUGAAAUGUGAGGCUUUAUCAGGUCUGAACCUGAGGGGCUUUUCAAACCACCACAUACCCAGAUUUCCCCAGCCCGGUUGAAUAUGAGGUUUGGGGGGUGGCCUCUGCAGGCGGAGGCUUAACGAGCCCCAUGGCCCCAGGUGGUGUUCAGAGGCCUGGGACCUGCUUCCUAACCAGGACUCUUGUGAACAUUUCCCUUCUCUCUCCAGAAAGGUCACAUGGGCUGGCAGUUACUGAACUUUCACUUCACUUUGGGAUUUUCCACAAUUCAGACCUGCAUUGAGUCACAAAGAUCUACCAAGCCUAGGAAAUUAUUGGGUGAAUUACUCUUAAUCACACAACUCCGACCACGACAGUCUUCGUCUGAGGGCGCAAUUCCCUUUCUGACCACCAGAGGGAGCACGUGGCUUGCGCCGAAUCCCCUCCAGCUGCGUGUUUUCAACUCAAUCUUUCCAAGGGCCUUUGCCGGGAGGAGGGGCUCCUGGCUCCUGAAUGGUCCGCCCGGUGCCGUGAUUUCCUAGGAAAGCCCUCAGCUCUUCUCAUUCCGCUUGUUCACCCCCCAGUUUCCAUACCUUCCACCCCACUGCUCCCCAGAGAGAAAUGUGACAAUGAGCUUCAGCUCUGUCGAAUCCAGACUACAUGGAACCUCUCUGGGUUGGCUUCUCAACUGAUUUCAGAGUUGUGAGCUGAGAAAGAACAGCAGGAGAGAGGCCACAGUUAUUCAGGGGACUCCUGCCUUGCUGGGGGCUUCCACAGCCCCUGACCAACUAUCCUGGUGUCACUGCUGAGACAGCAGCCUGAACAAGGGCAAUGGGACCCCAGAGACUGCAUCUGUACAGUCGGAGCCCCAGGGCUUUAGACCCUUUGCUCCAGUCAUCUUAGAGCCAGAAUAUUAUCAGCCAAAAUGAUGAGAGAGUAAGUGGCAAGCAUACCUAGACAUCUUCUGAGCCCAGCAGACAGAAUUUUGGUUUAAGGAGAACCUGAGUAGUUUAAUGACACAUACUAUUUUUUUAUAUAUAGGCAUCACAGUCUAUGAAUUGUAAUGAUUCAUCUCAAGAAGAUGGUAUUUUAGAUGUAUGUGUAUAUAUUUGAAGCCAAAACUGUUUAUUUUGUGUAAUUUUUUGUGCCUAUUAGUUUCUGAAUAUCUGUGCAUAAAAGCUUCUGUUUCUCUGCCUGCACACAUUUGUGGGUACACACUAUACACCUAUGUGGGGUAGGAGGGGGGAAUGGGCAUAUUUGUUUGCAUUUACCUUGUGUUUGGUCCUAGGAAGGGAUCUUGAUGAUCAUUCCAGCCCAGCUCUUUCACCUCAAUGGUGAAGAAACUGAGGUCCAGAAAGGCAAGGUGACUUGUCACAGAUCACACAGCUGGCUAUGGAGACAGAGGUGACACAAGAACCUAGGAUUUCUGAUUUGUAGAUGAGAACUCUUUCUAUAAUAUUAAAAUCAAUUAUAAAUUUUGGGGAGGGAAGCAGGGAGAUCCUUGUUUUUCCUCCCCCAACUGAUAAGUAAGUACUAAGAAGGCCAAUCUUGAAUUAGCUCUAUAAUACCAAAAGUUAAGCUUUUCACACAGACCUGGUUCAGUAUUGAUUCCUUUUAUGAAAACCCUGUUUAUACUCAAGUUGUCAAAGAAUUCCAGAGGGCAUAUGAAGCCAUUGUUAAAAUAAUUAUAUGCCUUUGUUUUUGAAGAAAAGUAUCCAAAAUAUAUAAGCUUAUUGUUUGAGUUAAACAAUAAAAACAUCUGCUGUUUCU
rnacentral:sRNA from 1 species